rnacentral:lncRNA from 1 species
AGGAUUGGAGUCCCUUUGGAAUUGAGAAUAUUGGUCUUGAUAAUGAGGUUGAUUUGAUUUCUCAAUAAUUGUGGUGGGUUUUGGCCAUUGUAUUUCCAAGAAAAAUUUGGAUGGUUUCUCCAACCUGUAUUAUAUCUGUUGGAAUAAGGGUCAUUCAAAGGAUGCAUGGGUUGGUAAGAAUUCAUCAAAUUUGUUUGGUUAUACAUAU